rnacentral:rRNA from 1 species
AUUGAACGCUGGCGGCAGGCCUAACACAUGCAAGUCGAACGAGUGGCGGACGGGUGAGUAAUGUCUGGGAACCUGCCUGAUGGAGCGGGCUAACGACUGGAAACGGUAGCUAAUACCGCAUACCCUCAGAUGGGCCCCGAUGGGAUUAGCUUGCUGGGGGGGUAACGGCUCACCAAGGCGACGAUCCCUAGCUGGUCUGAGAGGAUGACCGGCCAGACUGGGACUGAGACACGGUCCAGACUCCUACGUGAGGCGACAGUGGGGAAUAUUGCACGAUGGGCGCAAGCCUGAUGGAGCAAUGCCGCGUGAAUGAAGAAGGCCUUCGGAUUGUAAAGGACUUUCAGCGGGGAAGCGGUAUCUGCAGAAGAAGCACCGGCUAACUCCGUGCCAGCAGCCGCGGUAAUUC